rnacentral:rRNA from 1 species
GGUUGCGAUCAUACCAGCAUUAAUGCACCGGAUCCCAUCAGAACUCCGCAGUUUAAGCGUGCUUGGGCGAGAGUAGUACUAGGAUGGGUGACCCUUGGGAAGUCCUCGUGUUGCAACCC